rnacentral:ncRNA from 1 species
GAGAGCCGGAUGCGGGAGAUCUGCAUGUCCGGUUCGACGAGCGGGAUGUGGAAACGGGGUUAAGGUGAGGUUACUCGGGCACCGCCAAACGAAAGAGGCGGCAACAGACAAACCGAGCCUAACGCUACCGCGCCACAUCUCGACUCUAC